rnacentral:rRNA from 1 species
AUUGAACGCUGGCGGAAUGCUUUACACAUGCAAGUCGAGCGGCAGCGCGGGGGCAACCUGGCGGCGAGCGGCGAACGGGUGAGUAAUGCAUCGGAACGUACCCCGUCGUGGGGGAUAACUACCCGAAAGGGGUAGCUAAUACCGCAUACGACCUGAGGGUGAAAAGCGGGGGACCGAAAGGCCUCGCGCGAUGGGGAGCGGCCGAUGCCGGAUUAGCUAGUUGGUAGGGUAAAGGCCUACCAAGGCGACGAUCCGUAGCUGGUCUGAGAGGACGACCAGCCACACUGGAACUGAGACACGGUCCAGACUCCUACGGGAGGCAGCAGUGGGGAAUUUUGGACAAUGGGCGAAAGCCUGAUCCAGCCAUUCCGCGUGAGUGAAGAAGGCCU